rnacentral:rRNA from 1 species
CCUACGGGAGACAGCAGUGGGGAAUAUUGGACAAUGGGGGGAACCCUGAUCCAGCGACGCCGCGUGAGUGAAGAAGUAUUUCGGUAUGUAAAGCUCUAUCAGCAGGGAAGAAAGAAAUGACGGUACCUGACUAAGAAGCCCCGGCUAACUACGUGCCAGCAGCCGCGGUAAUACGUAGGGGGCAAGCGUUAUCCGGAUUUACUGGGUGUAAAGGGAGCGUAGACGGCGAUGCAAGUCUGAAGUGAAAGGCGGGGGCUCAACCCCCGGACUGCUUUGGAAACUGUAUGGCUGGAGUGCAGGAGAGGUAAGUGGAAUUCCUAGUGUAGCGGUGAAAUGCGUAGAUAUUAGGAGGAACACCAGUGGCGAAGGCGGCUUACUGGACUGUAACUGACGUUGAGGCUCGAAAGCGUGGGGAGCAAACAGGAUUAGAUACCCCUGUAGUC